CGCGCCCGGGGACGGGGAACGCGGCGGUGUGGAUGGGGACGGUAGCGACGCAACUGGGGAUGAGAAGGCGGCGUUGCGGAUGGGGACGGGGACGGGGACGGCGGCGACGCGGCUAGGGACGGGGACGGCGGUAGCGCCGACAUGGUUGGGGCAGGUGGGAUGUUCUCCUACGCCGAUGCAGAUGGCGCCGCUGAGCCGAGCAGCCUUCCCCAACCCACGCCGGUGCCGUCCCUGUCCCCAGCCGCGCCGGCACCUCAUCGCCGACCCCCAUCUCCAUCCUCCUCGACGACCUCCUCCUUGAGUGCCUCGCCGGCAUCCCCUAUGCCUCCCUCCCAUAGCUCCCCACCACUCCACCACGCCCAUCGCCUAAGUCGCGCCCACGGCGAGCUCCGCCCCUCCCUCCUCGCCCUCUCCGUCGCGUCCACGGCGAGCCGACGGAUGUUGGCGUGGUGGUGGUGACGAGGAUGAGGAGCUGGCGGCCACCGACUCGUAGCUACGCCCCGUCGUCGCUGCCGCUGCUACACUCCACCGCCGGCGACCGGAUGGGGAUCGAUCCCUUUUCUCCUUUCCCCUGCAAAGUCAACAAAAUGACUAGGGGCAAAUAUGUCAGAGCACGAUAAAAAACAUUUGGAAAUCAGUUAAAAUGGUUGAAAUGGCAUUCUAGCAAGUUGGCUUCAUUUGACAAUGACAUUAUAACAAAACCAUAUUCGGGACUAGCAUUCCAGCGAAACCCCAUCCCGAACAUGGUUAAAUGUCAAUUUUCUCCACAUAGACUGGCCCAUCGGUCAGUGUCACCACCGGCCUUCGAUGUUGAAGCGGCGCAACCAAAGCCGGAGAACGCAGCAGAGGCGGCCAGAGCGCGAGGGACUCCAACUCCAACCGCCAUGCCGCUCCUCCACGCGGCCAACCUCCGCGUCCUCCUCGCCGGCGCCGCCUUCGCGCACCUCUCCUCCCCCGCCGCCACCGCGCGCGCCUCCUCCCCGUCCGCCCCUCCCCCUCCGGCUCCCCCGCCGCCGCCGCGCGUCCGGGCCUUCGCCUCCUACCGCGCCUCGCCGCCUCCCCCGCCGCCGCCCCAACCAUCCUCGCCGUCGCCAUCCCGCGCCCUCGCCUCCGCGGCCGCCGCGUGCGAGCAGGGGGCGAAGCCCGCGAUCUGCACGGCGGAUGAGCUGCACUACGUGCCCGUGCCCGGCACAGAGUGGCGGCUCGCGCUCUGGCGGUACCGCCCGCCGCCUGAGGCGCCCAAGAGGAAUCACCCGCUGAUGCUGCUCUCGGGAGUGGCCACCAAUGCGAUUGGAUUUGACCUGUCUCCUGGGGCUUCAUUUGCACGUCAUAUGUCCAUGCAAGGGUUUGAUACAUGGAUUGUCGAAGUGCGUGGUGCAGGCCUGAGCAUGCGUGGAUCUGAACUAGCUGUAGCUGACACCACAUCUGACAUGUCUCGAAGUUCUGCAUUGGAUGAGAUUACUACACAGAAAUUAAAUGGCGCUGGACCUGCCAAGGAUGAUUCCACUUGUCUAGCUCAAAAUUUCGAAGUUCCAGUAGUAGAAGAUAAAUUUGAAGUUCCAGUAGUAGAAGAUAAGGAUGUAAUAGAGAGUAAUGCAUUAGAAGAACCACAGCUGGUGACAAAGUUAUCAAAUACUUUGGCACGAUUGGGUGAUACAUUCUCAGGUUAUGUAAAAGAUAGUCGACUGAGAAGUAUCGCUGAUGGCUUUUUUAAUCAAGUGUCAGAACUUGUUCCUGAUGCCUCAUUAACUAGUAGUCUUGAGGAAGUCUCAGAAAAAAUUUUGGGCUUACUGGAAUUGCCACAAACAUCAGCAAUAUCAGAUCAAAUAAGCCAUUUAAGUCUACGUCUUGUGAAUAUUCUUGGGGAAGGUCAACAGAAUAUAUCACCUCGGCUAUUUGGUUGGCAAGAACGCCUGUCUGCAACAAUAGAAGAUCUACAGAAACAAUUGGAGCUCAUUAUUAGCUAUGAUUGGGACUUUGACCAUUAUUUGGAGGAGGAUGUACCUGCCGCGAUGAAUUAUAUUAAACAGCAAAGCCCAACAAAGGAUGGCAAACUGCUUGCCAUUGGUCAUUCAAUGGGGGGAAUAUUAUUAUAUGCAAUGGUUUCAAAGUGUGGAUGUGAAGGUGCUGAGCCAGAGCUGGUAGCAAUUGUUACUUUGGCCUCAUCAGUUGACUACACAACAUCUAACUCAUCACUCAAGUUGCUAUUGCCUCUUGCAGACCCAGCUGAGAUGUUACGUGUUCCUGCUAUCCCUGUAGGAACAUUACUGUCUACCACUUACCCUAUAUCGUCUCGUGCACCCUAUAUUCUGUCAUUGCUGCGCUCUCAAAUUUCAUCAAAGGACAUGAUGGAUCCUGAUCUGCUUUCGAAGCUUGUCUUGAAUAACUUCUGCACGGUGCCAGCAAAGGUUUUACUACAGCUGACAACUGCAUUCCGUGAUGGUGGGCUGCGCAACAGGGCUGGUACCUUUUUCUUCAAGCAGCAUCUGCACAAAAUCAAAGUGCCAAUACUUGCCCUUGCUGGAGAUGAGGAUCUGAUUUGCCCCCCGGAAGCUGUUUAUGGUAUGAAACGGUGAAGUUAAUUCCUCAGCAUUUGGUGACAUAUAAGGUUUUUGGAAAGCCCGAAGGCCCUCAUUAUGCGCAUUAUGACUUGGUUGGAGGGCGAAAGGCUGUCCACGAAGUGUACCC